GAUGAACGCUGGCGGCGUGCCUAAUACAUGCAAGUAGAACGCUGAAGCUUGGUGCUUGCACCGAGCGGAUGAGUUGCGAACGGGUGAGUAACGCGUAGGUAACCUGCCUGGUAGCGGGGGAUAACUAUUGGAAACGAUAGCUAAUACCGCAUAACAGUAGAUAUUGCAUGAUAUCUGCUUGAAAGGGGCAAUUGCUCCACUACCAGAUGGACCUGCGUUGUAUUAGCUAGUUGGUGAGGUAACGGCUCACCAAGGCGACGAUACAUAGCCGACCUGAGAGGGUGAUCGGCCACACUGGGACUGAGACACGGCCCAGACUCCUACGGGAGGCAGCAGUAGGGAAUCUUCGGCAAUGGACGGAAGUCUGACCGAGCAACGCCGCGUGAGUGAAGAAGGUUUUCGGAUCGUAAAGCUCUGUUGUAAGAGAAGAACGAGUGUGAGAGUGGAAAGUUCACACUGUGACGGUAUCUACCAGAAAGG
rnacentral:rRNA from 1 species